rnacentral:lncRNA from 1 species
CUGCUUGCUAGGCUUCUGCAGGGAAGUGAGUGCGGCGAACAUGGCUGAAGACUGUUCGGGCGUCCCAACGUGCAGUGGGAUGGGUGGCCGGCAGGACCCGGUCCCCAGCCCUGGAGGCUGCAAUUUCCCAGAGUACGAGCUUCCCGAGCUAAACACGCGCGCUUUCCACGUGGGCGCCUUUGGGGAGCUAUGGCGGGGCCGUCUGCGCGGGGCCGGAGACUUGUCGCUAAGGGAGCCUCCGGCAUCCUCGCUGCCCGGGAGCAGAGGGUCCGCUGAUUCUGACCUGGAGGAUUCCGCAGUGGCCCGGGAUCUGGGCUGCAGUCUGGAGGCAGCGGCCGAGCUAAGGAUGGUUUGCGGGUGAGUGUGGGUCGGGGACUUGGCAUCUUGGCCAGGAGGGGUGCAGCUUUGCCCUCACGGUCCCCUGGGACUCGGGCCUGCUGAGGGCCUGUCAUUUAGACCCGCGAUUAAAGGACCUCCUUGCAAAAGCUUUCAACCCCAGAACCUUCCUGGAACCCUGGGAGAAGUCCCAGGAUCCAAAUGCAUACAGUUUCUGCGAGUUAAGAGUAGAGGAACAACAAGAUAGCAACAUAAACGACUAAUUUUUCUAUUCGCCAAUUUUAAAGGUCUCAUUAAUAAAGAAAAGCAGCCCGGGUAACAGCGACCGGUGUCUGCCAGACACUUUGACAGUGGAAGAAUCUGAAGUAGUGGUGAGCCUGGAGGGGACUUAAUCAGAGGAGUAUUAAAACCCUUACUGUGGACUGUUGGGGAACCUCCUUAUGCUAUUAGUGAAAAAUUAUCAAAAAGUUCCUUAUGUGAGGUGAAAAUAUAAAAAUAACUUGUAAUGAGCUCUUUCUUCACAGUACUGAUUUCCUUCAAUUGGUCUAUGUCCUUUUCCUUAUAAAAUAUCUGCAUAGAAAUUAUUACCUUGAUUUCCAGCUUCCUUUUAGCUGCCUGCUGGAUUUUUCCUGACUUCUUAAUUAUUCAGUGAUGUAUUUAGGGGUGUGCUCUUUCUUUCUUUCUUUCUUUCUUUCUUUCUUUCUUUCUUUCUUUCUUUUUUUGAUACUGGGGAUUGAACCUAGGGCCUUGUGCAUUCAAGGCAAGCAUUCUAUCAACUGAGCUAUAUCCCUAGCCCCCAUGCUAUUACUAUUGACAAGAUUUUUUGGUGACUUUUUAAAGUUUUCAUUUCCUUCUUUUUGUUUUAGCCUUGAUAAACUGAAAUGCCUUGAAGAAGGUGAGGAUCCAGAAGUUAUUCCAGAGAAUACUGACCUGGUGACUUUGGGGUAUGGGUGACUUUGUUCUUGUCAUAUAUUGUUUAUUGUUAAUUGUCAAGAAUUGAACCCUGGGGCCUGCUAGGCACACAAACUAUCACAAAGUUACACCACCA